rnacentral:rRNA from 1 species
AUUGAACGCUGGCGGCAUGCUUUACACAUGCAAGUCGAACGGCAGCACGGACUUCGGUCUGGUGGCGAGUGGCGAACGGGUGAGUAAUACAUCGGAACGUACCCAGUAAUGGGGGAUAACUAUCCGAAAGGAUAGCUAAUACCGCAUACGCCCUACGGGGGAAAGAGGGGGAUCGCAAGACCUCUUGUUAUUGGAGCGGCCGAUGGCUGAUUAGCUAGUUGGUGAGGUAAAGGCUCACCAAGGCGACGAUCAGUAGCGGGUCUUAGAGGACGAUCCGCCACACUGGAACUGAGACACGGUCCAGACUCCUACGGGAGGCAGCAGUGGGGAAUCUUGGACAAUGGGCGCAAGCCUGAUCCAGCAAUGCCGCGUGCGUGAAGAAGGCCUUCGGGUUGUAAAGCGCUUUUGUCAGGGAGCAAAUCCUUGUGGCUAAUACCCACCGGGGAUGAGAGUACCUGAAGAAUAAGGACCGGCUAACUACGUGCCAGCCGCCGCAGUAACAC